AGAGUUUGAUCAUGGCUCAGAACGUACGCUGGCGGCACGCCUUAUACAUGCAAGUCGAACGAAGUAGCAAUACUUAGUGGCAGACGGGUGAGUAACAUGUAGGUAUCUUCCCUUUGGUGAGGAAUAACACGAGGAAACUUGUGCUAAUACCUCAUAAGUCUUUACGGAGAAAGCUUUAUGCGCCAUUGGAUGAGCCCGCACUUGAUUAGUUUGUUGGUGGGGUAAUGGCCUACCAAGACUUUGAUCAAUAGCUGAUUUGAGAGGAUGAUCAGCCACAUUGGGACUGAGACACGGCCCAAACUCCUACGGGAGGCAGCAGUAGGGAAUAUUGCACAAUGGAGGAAACUCUGAUGCAGCGAUGCCGCGUGAGUGAAGAAGGCCUUUGGGUUGUAAAGCUCUUUCGUCGGGGAAGAAAAUGACUGUACCCGAAUAAGAAGGUCCGGCUAACUUCGUGCCAGCAGCCGCGGUAAUACGAAGGGACCUAGCGUAGUUCGGAAUUACUGGGCUUAAAGAGUUCGUAGGUGGUUAAAAAAGUUGGUGGUGAAAGCCCAGAGCUUAACUCUGGAACUGCCAUCAAAACUUUUUAGCUAGAGUAUGAUAGAGGAAAGCAGAAUUUCUAGUGUAGAGGUGAAAUUCGUAGAUAUUAGAAAGAAUACCAAUUGCGAAGGCAGCUUUCUGGAUCAUUACUGACGCUGAGGAACGAAAGCAUGGGUAGCGAAGAGGAUUAGAUACCCUCGUAGUCCAUGCCGUAAACGAUGUGUGUUAGAUGUUGGAAAUUUAUUUUCAGUAUCACAGCGAAAGCAAUAAACACACCGCCUGGGGAGUACGACCGCAAGGUUAAAACUCAAAU
rnacentral:rRNA from 1 species